rfam:Hordeum vulgare subsp. vulgare, WGS project CAJW01000000 data, contig: morex_contig_1588230
AAUCUACUCCCUCCGUCCGAAAUUACUUCUCACACAAAUUGAUAAAAUGGAUGUAUCUAGAAUUAAAAUACAUCUAGAUACAUCCCAUUUCUAUGACAAAUGUUUCCGGACGGAGGGGGUACUUA